UAGGCUCUAUCAAAAGGGUAUUGCUUGGGAGUGUGAGCAACUAUGUGGUGAAAAAUGCUUCAUGUCCAGUUACUGUGGUGAAAGGGAAACCAUUGGCAUUGCCAGACUCCAAAUCUUAAUUCUUAAAUCCAUUUGAUCCUUUCUUCUUCAUUUGUACACAAAGCAAAGCAAUUAUACUUGGGUGUUUUUUUGUUGAAUGUACAAAGAUUUUGUGUUGAUUUAGCAUAUGUGG
rnacentral:misc_RNA from 1 species